UACGUAGGGUGCGAGCGUUGUCCGGAAUUACUGGGCGUAAAGAGCUCGUAGGUGGUUUGUCGCGUUGUUCGUGAAAACCGGGGGCUUAACCCUCGGCGUGCGGGCGAUACGGGCAGACUGGAGUACUGCAGGGGAGACUGGAAUUCCUGGUGUAGCGGUGGAAUGCGCAGAUAUCAGGAGGAACACCGAUGGCGAAGGCAGCUCGCUGGGACGGUACUGACGCUGAGGUGCGAAAGCGUGGGGAGCAAACAGG
rnacentral:rRNA from 1 species